rnacentral:lncRNA from 1 species
AUUACAGCUUUUUGCCACCAUAGGCUGUUCCCGCGUAUCGACAAACCUGAAGAUCAUAAACGUCAUUUUCUGAAAAUUAAAUAUAUUAGAAGAGGUAUUGAUUGUAUCAACUCAUCUAGUAUAUUUAAUGACUCUACCGUUCAAAACUUUAUACCUCCCUAUUUUGAUAACAUAGAACCACCUAUAAUUUCAUACACAUACAAAAAAAA